rnacentral:tRNA from 2 species
GGAGAGGUCGCCUAGUCCGGUCGAGGGCGCGGCACUGGAAAUGCCGUAGGCGGGCAACCGCCUCGAGGGUUCGAAUCCCUCCCUCUCCGCCA